rnacentral:rRNA from 1 species
GAUGAACGCUGGCGGCGUGCCUAAUACAUGCAAGUCGAGCGAACAGAUAAGGAGCUUGCUCCUUUGACGUUAGCGGCGGACGGGUGAGUAACACGUGGAUAACCUACCUAUAAGACUGGGAUAACUUCGGGAAACCGGAGCUAAUACCGGAUAACAUAUUGAACCGCAUGGUUCAAUAGUGAAAGGCGGCUUUGCUGUCACUUAUAGAUGGAUCCGCGCCGUAUUAGCUAGUUGGUAAGGUAACGGCUUACCAAGGCAACGAUACGUAGCCGACCUGAGAGGGUGAUCGGCCACACUGGAACUGAGACACGGUCCAGACUCCUACGGGAGGCAGCGGUAGGAAAUCUACCGCAAUGGGCGAAAGCCUGACGGAGCAACGCCGCGUGAGUGAUGAAGGUCUUCGGAUCGUAAAACACUGUUAUCAGGGAAGAACAAAUGUGUAAGUAACGGUGCGCAUCUUGACGGUACCGGAGCAGAAGGCCACGGCUAACUACGU